AGUGAACGCUGGCGGUAGGCCUAACACAUGCAAGUCGAACGGCAGCACAGUAAGAGCUUGCUCUUACGGGAGGCGAGUGGCGGACGGGUGAGGAAUACAUCGGAAUCUACUUUUUCGUGGGGGAUAACGUAGGGAAACUUACGCUAAUAAAGCAUAAGAGCUACGGGUGAAAGCAGGGGAACUUCGGACAUAGCGAGAUUGAAUGAGCCGAUGUCGGAUUAGCUAGUUGGCGGGGUAAAGGCCCACCAAGGCGACGAUCCGUAGCUGGUCUGAGAGGAUGAUCAGCCACACUGGAACUGAGACACGGUCCAGACUCCUACGGGAGGCAGCAGUGGGGAAUAUUGGACAAUGGGCGCAAGCCUGAUCCAGCCAUACCGCGUGGGUGAAGAAGGCCUUCGGCUUGUAAAGCCCUUUUGUUGGGAAAGAAAAGCAGCAGGUUAAUACCCCGCUGUUCUGACGGUACCCACAGAAUAAGCACCGGCUAACUUCGUG
rnacentral:rRNA from 1 species